rnacentral:lncRNA from 1 species
GGAGAGAGAAAAAAGUCAAGAGCAACUGCUUUUUUUCCCCUCCUUUUUUUUAGUUUUAGAAUUUUAUAUAAGAUGCGCCAUAGUGUAAAAUAAAAAACUUGAGAAUGUAAAAUUCAUUCCCUUAAUUCUUAAUCUAAAAAUUGUCACCCCUAUUCAAUAAUUAAGACUUAAAUCACCUAUACUUAAAUCACCUAUACUUAAAUUACCACGCUUAAUUUAUUGUGCCAAGAU